rnacentral:rRNA from 1 species
GGUUAAGUGACUAAGCGUACACGGUGGAUGCCUUGGCAGUCAGAGGCGAUGAAAGACGUAGUAACUUGCGAUAAGCCCAGAUUAGGUAGUAACAACCAUUUGAGUCUGGGAUUUCUGAAUGGGGAAACCCACGUGCAUAAGCACGUAUCCUUACCUGAAUACAUAGGGUAAGGAGGCGAACCGGGGGAACUGAAACAUCUAAGUACCCCGAGGAAAAGAAAUCAACCGAGAUUCCGAAAGUAGCGGCGAGCGAAAUUGGACUAGCCCUUAAGCUUUACACGCGUUAGACGAACGGUCUGGAAAGUCCGACGAUACAGGGUGAUAGUCCCGUAGUUGACGACGUGUGUUCAGUGAAAUCGAGUAGGGCGGGACACGUGAUAUCCUGUCUGAAUAUGGGGGGACCAUCCUCCAAGGCUAAAUACUACUGACUGACCGAUAGUGAACCAGUACCGUGAGGGAAAGGCGAAAAGAACCCCUGUGAGGGGAGUGAAAUAGAACCUGAAACCGUGUACGUACAAGCAGUAGGAGCAGGCUUUGUCCUGUGACUGCGUACCUUUUGUAUAAUGGGUCAGCGACUUAUAUUCAGUGGCAAGGUUAACCAUCUAGGGGAGCCGUAGGGAAACCGAGUCUUAACUGGGCGUUCAGUCUCUGGAUAUAGACCCGAAACCAGGUGAUCUAGCCAUGGGCAGGUUGAAGGUUGAGUAACAUCAACUGGAGGACCGAACCGACUAAUGUUGAAAAAUUAGCGGAUGACUUGUGGCUAGGGGUGAAAGGCCAAUCAAACCUGGAGAUAGCUGGUUCUCCCCGAAAGCUAUUUAGGUAGCGCCUCGGACGAAUACUACUGGGGGUAGAGCACUGUUAAGGCUAGGGGGUCAUCCCGACUUACCAACCCUUUGCAAACUCCGAAUACCAGUAAGUACUAUCCGGGAGACACACGGCGGGUGCUAACGUCCGUCGUGGAGAGGGAAACAACCCAGACCGCCAGCUAAGGUCCCAAAUUACUACUAAGUGGGAAACGAUGUGGGAAGGCUCAGACAGCCAGGAUGUUGGCUUAGAAGCAGCCAUCAUUUAAAGAAAGCGUAAUAGCUCACUGGUCGAGUCGGCCUGCGCGGAAGAUGUAACGGGGCUAAGUAGUAAACCGAAGCUGCGGCAAUAUACUUUUGUAUAUUGGGUAGGGGAGCGUUCUGUAAGCGGUUGAAGGUGUGUGGUAACGCAUGCUGGACGUAUCAGAAGUGCGAAUGCUGACAUGAGUAACGAUAAAGGGGGUGAAAAACCUCCUCGCCGGAAGACCAAGGGUUCCUGUCCAACGUUAAUCGGGGCAGGGUAAGUCGACCCCUAAGGCGAGGCCGAAAGGCGUAGUCGAUGGGAAACGGGUUAAUAUUCCCGUACUUCUUACAAUUGCGAUGGGGGGACGGAGAAGGCUAGGUGGGCCUGGCGACGGUUGUCCAGGUUCAAGUGCGUAGGCUUGAGAGUUAGGUAAAUCCGGCUCUCUUUAAGGCUGAGACACGACGUCGAGCACCUACGGGUGUGAAGUCAUUGAUGCCAUGCUUCCAGGAAAAGCCUCUAAGCUUCAGAUUGUAAGGAAUCGUACCCCAAACCGACACAGGUGGUCGGGUAGAGAAUACCAAGGCGCUUGAGAGAACUCGGGUGAAGGAACUAGGCAAAAUGGUACCGUAACUUCGGGAGAAGGUACGCUCUCGACGGUGAAGUCCCUUGCGGAUGGAGCUAUUGAGAGUCGCAGAUACCAGGUGGCUGCAACUGUUUAUUAAAAACACAGCACUGUGCAAAAUCGUAAGAUGACGUAUACGGUGUGACGCCUGCCCGGUGCCGGAAGGUUAAUUGAUGGGGUUAGACUUCGGUCGAAGCUCUUGAUCGAAGCCCCGGUAAACGGCGGCCGUAACUAUAACGGUCCUAAGGUAGCGAAAUUCCUUGUCGGGUAAGUUCCGACCUGCACGAAUGGCGUAAUGAUGGCCACGCUGUCUCCACCCGAGACUCAGUGAAAUUGAAAUCGCUGUGAAGAUGCAGUGUACCCGCGGCUAGACGGAAAGACCCCGUGAACCUUUACUACAGCUUGGCACUGAACAUUGACCCUACAUGUGUAGGAUAGGUGGGAGGCUUUGAAGCACGUACGCCAGUAUGUGUGGAGCCGUCCUUGAAAUACCACCCUUGUAGUGUUGAUGUUCUAACGUCGACCCCUAAUCGGGGUUGCGGACAGUGCCUGGUGGGUAGUUUGACUGGGGCGGUCUCCUCCCAAAGAGUAACGGAGGAGCACGAAGGUGGGCUAAUCACGGUUGGACAUCGUGAGGUUAGUGCAAUGGCAUAAGCCCGCUUGACUGCGAGAAUGACAAUUCGAGCAGGUGCGAAAGCAGGUCAUAGUGAUCCGGUGGUUCUGAAUGGAAGGGCCAUCGCUCAACGGAUAAAAGGUACUCCGGGGAUAACAGGCUGAUACCGCCCAAGAGUUCAUAUCGACGGCGGUGUUUGGCACCUCGAUGUCGGCUCAUCACAUCCUGGGGCUGAAGUCGGUCCCAAGGGUAUGGCUGUUCGCCAUUUAAAGUGGUACGCGAGCUGGGUUUAGAACGUCGUGAGACAGUUCGGUCCCUAUCUGCCGUGGGCGUUGGAAGAUUGAAGGGGGCUGCUCCUAGUACGAGAGGACCGGAGUGGACGAACCUCUGGUGUUCGGGUUGUGUCGCCAGACGCAUUGCCCGGUAGCUAAGUUCGGAAUCGAUAACCGCUGAAAGCAUCUAAGCGGGAAGCGAGCCCUGAGAUGAGUCUUCCCUGAUACUUUAAGUAUCCUAAAGGGUUGUCGGAGACUACGACGUUGAUAGGUCAGGUGUGUAAGUGCUGUGAGGCAUUGAGCUAACUGAUACUAAUUGCCCGUGAGGCUUAACCAU